rnacentral:lncRNA from 1 species
CAAAAGGGCUGUCUGUUGUUUUUAUUCAGAAGGAAAAUGACAGCUGAUGGAGCAGCCUGGAGUGCUUCCUUGGUCUCUGAUAAUCUUAAGAAGUCACUGCUGGAAGUUUUGGAGGAUGUGAGGACAUCCAACUACUUGGAGUUUGCUCAUCAGGUCCAGCAAGGGGAGUCAGAAUGCUCAAUUGUGACUAUAUAAUGUUUAUGAGGACCUAUUGAGUCAAUACAAGGUGGAAGGUGACAACUUCAUGUAUCACAUCAUUACCAGUGAUGAGAUAUGGUGUCACCACUAUGGGCUGGAGUCCAAGCAG